rnacentral:rRNA from 1 species
AUACGGAGGGUGCAAGCGUUAAUCGGAAUUACUGGGCGUAAAGCGUACGUAGGCGGUUUAUUAAGUCAGAUGUGAAAGCCCCGGGCUUAACCUGGGAACUGCAUUUGAAACUAGUAGACUAGAGUAUGAUAGAGGGGGGUAGAAUUCCUAGUGUAGCGGUGAAAUGCGUAGAUAUUAGGAGGAAUACCAGUGGCGAAGGCGGCCCCCUGGACCAAUACUGACGCUGAGGUACGAAAGCGUGGGGAGCGAACAGAAUUAGAAACCCCAGUAGUCC